AUGUUACCGUCUACUAUGUUCCUCGUGCACCUUCCACUCAGCACAAACAGGCUGCACUGCCUCCGAAACACAUCACUUGAAUCCUGCCUCUGCUCCUUUGUCCAUCUGAAUCACCCUCUCCACAUUUCUGACCCUGUAAUCCUGAUCUCACUUCAUGAGGCAGUUCGCUUCUCUUUUGCAUUUAGCUUUCCCCGGGGUACACUGUCAAUAGCCUACUGUCUGAUGUCAUCAGUCAGCACUUCAUCAGAGGCAAUUAUGUCCACAGAGCUUUUGGCUAAUUACUGUCACUCCUCUUUACAUGUGUGCAUAUGCAUAUCAUCUUUCCCUAAUGAGACUGGAAAUCAUGAUUCAUUCCCUGGAGCAGUGGUUUCCAUAAGUGACCAACCCACAGACCAGUGCAAACUGGCUGCAAAAGAGCUUCCUCUGAGGAACUUAUUAGAAUGCAGAUUCUUUGACUGCAUGGGAGAGGAGGAUCUCAUAAAUCUGGGUGUAAUAGGCACAGAACGU
rnacentral:lncRNA from 10 species